CAGCCGCCACGGUAAAACGUAGGGUGCAAGCGUUAAUCGGAAUUACUGGGCGUAAAGCGUGCGCAGGCGGUUAUAUAAGACAGAUGUGAAAUCCCCGGGCUCAACCUGGGAACUGCAUUUGUGACUGUAUAGCUAGAGUACGGCAGAGGGGGAUGGAAUUCCGCGUGUAGCAGUGAAAUGCGUAGAUAUGCGGAGGAACACCGAUGGCGAAGGCAAUCCCCUGGGCCUGUACUGACGCUCAUGCACGAAAGCGUGGGGAGCAAACAGGAUUAGAUACCCCGGUAGUCCCUGUCUCUUAUAC
rnacentral:rRNA from 1 species